AUUGAACGCUGGCGGCAGGCCUAACACAUGCAAGUCGAGCGGCUGCAGGGAGCUUGCUCCUGGAUUCGGCGGCGGACGGGUGAGUAAUGCCUAGGAACCUGCCUGGUAGUGGGGGAUAACGUCCGGAAACGGGCGCUAAUACCGCAUACGUCCUGAGGGCGUACGUGGGGGAUCUUCGGACCUCACGCUAUCAGAUGAGCCUAGGUCGGAUUAGCUAGUUGGCGGGGUAAAGGCCUACCAAGGCGACGAUCCGUAACUGGUCUGAGAGGAUGAUCAGUCACACUGGAACUGAGACACGGUCCAGACUCCUACGGGAGGCAGCAGUGGGGAAUAUUGGACAAAGGGCGAAAGCCUGAUCCAGCCAUGCCGCGUGUGUGAAGAAGGUCUUCGGAUUGUAAAGCACUUUAAGUUGGGAGGAAGGGCAGUAAGUUAAUACCUUGCUGUUUUGACGUUACCAACAGAAUAAGCACCGGCUAACUUCGUG
rnacentral:rRNA from 1 species